rnacentral:lncRNA from 1 species
CUAUCACUUGCCCUUGCUAGCUGUUUACACCCCCUAAGAAGGGUCUGAUAGACUGCAGGAGGACAUUCUAUUUAGAGUGCAAAGUAGAAAUACAAGCUAACAUUUUAAAAAGUCAUUGGGAGACUAAAAUACAAGCAAAUCGUAGUGGUGGCCAAAAAGAAGUGACUGCACAGGAAUUACAUGGAGGUGAAAGUAUUAGAGGUUUAAAAGGGCAAUAGGAAGAAGAAAUUCAUAUGAUACAAGCACCUUACAUGUGAAAAAAAGCCCAAAAAUAUACAGCUGUGGGAGGAUAAAAAGAAACAUUCCUGCAGCAGAAGUGAUCCAUCCAGUACAUACAGAGUAUUUCCAAAGAGAGCUGAAUUGUGCCUUUUUGAUACAAAGCAGGAAUACAUUUGCUGAAGUUAAAGGAAUUACUUUCAUACUUUUUCAGGGAAAAAAAUCUCCAAUUUCAUAGGUUAUACAUUUUAUUUAAUUUUCAAUUCAAAUGUAAACAUGCAUUUCUGGAAUAGGAUUGUUGUAACAUUUCUGAAACACAAAGGGAAAGAAAAGAUUGCAGCACAGAAGGCUUCAGCUGGAACAAGAAGUUUGCAGCUUCUGGUGCAACAUCUUUAUAAAUAAUUUUCAUAAUAAAAGGACCAACUAGAUUUUACAGGCACUGCAUUCUUUCAUGCUUUUAUCAAGAUGUUCACACAUGAAACAAAGCUAAAUAAUUUUGCUACGUAUUAAAAAGCACAUCAGCUGGAAAGGAAGUUCCACCUAAUCGAUAAUUAAAUUUAGAAGAUCAAACCAUUCCAUAGAUUUUGAUUAUUAGAGAAAGAUUUAGUGCCAGUUUUUUAAAAACACCACUCUUCAUGCAACAUAGUUGACUUUCCCCAAUUUUACUGUAAAAAUAAAAUUCUACGCCUUUUGUCAGUAAAUGGAGUGGUGCCACUGUGUUCAGGACACCACACAUUUUGCUUCUAACAGAAAAAGGUUCCAUGGAAACCACUGAACACUGAUGAAUAUUUGACAAUCAUCUAUUUUUACUCCUAACAAGUCUAAACACCACAAAGAUAAUUUUACCACUUUUUCAGACUUUUUUUCUUUACAAUUUGAAAUAAAAUGUGGUAUUUCUAAUUUAUCAAAUGGAUUUUCACUGCCAGUGUUAAAAAUGUAAAAUCCAAAGUUUCCAAAAAUAUUAGGAAUAAUGAUUUGACAUGGACACCUGGGAUUUCUUUCAGUUCUGUACAACACUGGGCUACUGUCAGAAUUACAUAAAUAAGUAAUUGCAAACCAUGCAAUUAAAAUUUGAAAAUACAUGUUCAGAAACAAGAGGAUAUCUUUGUCUCCAAACAUUUCCAAAGGAUUUUAAUUCAGC